rnacentral:rRNA from 1 species
UACGUAGGGUGCAAGCGUUGUCCGGAAUUAUUGGGCGUGAGGAGCGUGUAGGCGGCCCGAUUAGUCCGCUGUGAAAGUCCAGGGCUCAACCCUGGAAUGCCGGUGGAUACUGUCGGGCUAGAGUCCGGAAGGGGCGAGUGGAAUUCCUGGUGUAGCGGUGAAAUGCGCAGAUAUCAGGAGGAACACCAAUGGCGAAGGCAGCUCGCUGGGACGUGACUGACGCUGAGACGCGAAAGUGUGGGGAGCGAACAGG